rnacentral:rRNA from 1 species
UACGUAGGGUCCGAGCGUUGUCCGGAAUUACGGGGCGUAAAGAGCUCGUAGGUGGUUUGUCGCGUUGUUCGUGAAAACUCACAGCUCAACUGUGGGCGUGCGGGCGAUACGGGCAGACUGGAGUACUGCAGGGGAGACUGGAAUUCCUGGUGUAGCGGUGGAAUGCGCAGAUAUCAGGAGGAACACCGAUGGCGAAGGCAGAUCUCUGGGCCGUAACUGACGCUGAGGAGCGAAAGCGUGGGGAGCGAACAGG